rnacentral:tRNA from 1 species
GGAGUGGUUGUGGCUCAGUGGUAGAGCAUCUUCUUGGCAUGCAGAAGGUCCCCAGUUCAAUCCACAGGAUCUCCA